CGCUCCUUGAUUUUAAUUGAUAAGGAGUCGGACCUGCCCAGUGAUAAGUAUUUAACGGCCGCGGUACUCUGACCGUGCAAAGGUAGCAUAAUCAUUUGCCCUAUAAUUGAGGGCUAGUAUGAAUGGUUUGACAAGAACAAUACUGUCUCUUUCAAAANUUUCUAGAAUUUAUUCUUUAGGUGAAGAAACCUAAAUAAAAUUAAAAGACAAGAAGACCCUAUCGAGCUUAAACUCUUUCUAUAAAAUAAAAAAAAUUAAUAAUAUUUUUUGUUAUAAAAAAUUUUGGUUGGGGCGACUAAGGAACAAAAAAAGCUUCUUUAUUUAAUAAAGACAAAUAUGUAUUGAUCCAUAAAANUCUUGAUUAAAAGAAUUAGUUACCGUAGGGAUAACAGCAUAAUCUUUUUUAAGAGUUCUUAUCGAAAAAAAGGUUUGUGACCUCGAUGUUGGACUAGAAUUUCCUAAUAGAUGCAGACGUCUUUAAGGG
rnacentral:rRNA from 1 species